UCUUCCCCACAGGUAUUGCAUUGGUAGCUGUACACACAUAUAUAUGUGUAAUCGAGUUAUACGGACCAGGAAGUUCGGACCCCGUAUUUGACAUGAUAUGUUUCUGCAGUGUUAAUGUGUCUGUUUGCGAAAAACUACAACAUCGGAAUCUCACGGAGAACGCCGUAUAUACUGUAUUUACAUGACGGAUAAUAAGCCCGACAUGUUAUUUCUAUUGCUCACAUUACUAGCAUCGUCAGAUGCUGUCACAUUGAACGGGUCGUCUGAGUACGCUGUCCUCGGGAGUGAGUUUACACUGACGUGUGACGUACCAGAUGAGGGAAACAGUGUCCAGUUGUACCGCCGUCCUGACGUGACUGCUAUACUAGGUAGAAUACAAAUAGCUGGUGGUCAGUGUUACAACACCACUACUACUCCUGUCCUCUGUAGCCCGGAUAGCUGUUUCUGUACUACCACCUAGACUCUCUAUGGUACAGUGUUCCAGUGGGUCAUACAGCCACAGACAGGAGACCAUGGAUCUGUGUGGGUUUGUCGUCGUAACAACCCAAGUCUACCUGUCGCUGUUGUAGCCAGUCCUGACUACACACUUAACGUGGCAGGUAUCGGUGUAUAGUUGACAGCGACCCCCUCCCGUGUCACAGAGGGAGGAUCACUCAACCUGACGUGUUUGGUGACAGAGAACAGCUCUGUGUUUGCCACGUUUAAUUAUGAGGAUGCGACACUCAUUGGAUCAAUACAGCUGUCAGGAGGACAGUGUUUAGCUAGUACAGCCAAUACCCGUACCCAGCAGGGUACCUGUACCACAGACGGUAAAUCCUUCUCCUGGACCAUCUCCAGUGUGACCAGGUCCUGGGACAGGGCACGGGUCAGAUGUCAGGUUUCCAAUCCAACAUCUUCAAUCAGUGAUAUCAUCGCCGUCAGUGUGUUAUACCCUCCUACUCCACCAAUCAUCAUUCAGCUCAACACCAGCAAUUUACCAGGAUUAGGCGAGUACAUGGAAUUAUCGUGCAAUUACUCCGAAGGUAAUCCCUAUCCAGCAAGCGUUGAGUGGUUCCGAGAUGGUCUACCUACAGGACUAAAUGGGACUGAUAUUGUAAUUGGACCUCUCCUUCCAGCAGAUAAUGGCGUUGGCUAUUCCUGCCGCGUACGGAAUAUAUUCACAGACUUAAAGAUGGUGAACCUGACCUCACCCACAUAUAUCCUCGUCGUGGCAUGUAAGUAUAUACCACAAUUCAUACCAAUCAAGUAUGAUUUUAUUAAUUAUUUCACUUUUAAAAUUAUUGCCAUGGCUAAAUAUCAUUUCUUUGAGUAACUUUCUAAAAUACUCAGAAUUGUUUAAUUGUUCACGUACAGAAAUGAAAAUUAUUGCAAACCUUCCUCAGUAUUAAUGAACGCCGGAGAUCUGUGGAUCUAUAUUUAAUCAAAACAACAUACCAUGACUUAUACCGACCGGUUGUCAAAGAUAUAUUUAUGAUAUACUGACCCGAAACAAAUGAUAAAAAUGCAUUGUACUAGUGUCUGUAGCUUCGUUUUAAGUGUUUGUUUUGCUUGUGUAAAUAUAUACUGCACUGCCAGCAAACCGUCUACUAUCUGCCAGGUGCUUUGUUAAAGUAAUUGAGUCAAAUGUAUGUAUUGUGAGCUGUUGUUUCAAUAAUAAACAUUGUUUCGUUUGUUAUAUAUUUUUUAUGAAUAAUUAGUCUCAUACAGUUGGUAGUCCUUUAGUUAGUAAAUACGGCUAAGCUGAUUAAAAGUCCCUGUUUCUAUAUUGUUGUCAAAUGAUAGAAACACCAUAACAGAUUGUGUUUGUUAACCAAUAAAUAGACCUGAAUUCAUUUUAAUUUCUGAUCAACUUACACUUUCGUAUAUUAUAUUACUAGUUUAGUGACAUAGCGAUUUUUGAUGGUGGUUAAUUUUAGGUGUCAGAUUAUAUAUAAUCUUGCGAAAAUACUUGUUGUUACAUUGUGGUCACAAUUUAGUAAAAUACGUUGGUUAUUCCACGAGAUACACUAGACCAGCCAGUUUCAUAUUUGUAGAUGAUGUUCAUUUCUUAGUGAGUUUAGUUUUAUAUAACAAUAUAGUAUGCAUUGAUUACUUACCACGCAUUAAUAAUACAAGUAGUGUGAAUUUCAUGUGAAAGGUUAUUCCGGUAUUUCUAUUUCAAUCAUGACAUGAAAUCAUUAAUAAUAUACAUGCUAUUUUAUUUCAGGUUUGACGUAUGAUAUAUUGUAACACGAUGCUAUGUAAUAUGGUCAGACGAUUCAUACACGUCCUUUAUGAUAAAAUACAUAAUCUAUGUGACAAUUUUGCUUAUAAUGUAACACAAUUUUGAUAACUAUACUACUUUGUGUUUUUUGUGACGUUUUUGUCAUGUUUCGUGUUGUCUGUGUUGAUUUGUCUUUACCGUAAAGUAUUGUGUCGUCUAAACAUGUAUUUGUGAUGUUGCUGAAAGUUUGUGUUAGAGUGAACAAAUGAGUGGUUUUAUUGGGUNGGGGGGGGGGGGGGGGGGGGGGGGUUGUAUUGUUUUCGAAGAUUAGGAGGACGGUUUGGAUAAAUACCAGUGAGCGACUUCAACACCAACAUAACCAACAUUUCACAAACGAUGUCAAUGCUAUUUCAACGGCUGUUUUCUGAUAGACCGUUUAUGGUAACGUGACGUGCAGACCUUAAUGAUACUGGUCAACCUGACAAUGGAUGGAUCAGCUACUCCUUGUUAAAAAGGUGUUUCUCCAACAUGCAUCUGUUGACGGGCUACUCACGGAAACCCUAGUAUGUGGAUAUAAAGAUAAAGAAAAAGAGUGUGAUGAUAACAGUCAUGUGAUCUAGGCAGUAAACCCUUCCGAAUCACCAAAUAUGUAACAAUGCCAGAGAUCUUGGCAUGGGAAACGGACUUUUUCAAAUACUAAAUGUAUUAAUUGUUGGUAUAAACAGCAAAAGGAUGUCUGUUUCCUCAACAUUAAAAAAAGAACAGAAAUAUGACAAUUUUAUGUAAAAUUUAGAACAAAA